UACGAAGGGGGCUAGCGUUGCUCGGAAUCACUGGGCGUAAAGCGCACGUAGGCGGAUUGUUAAGUCAGGGGUGAAAUCCUGGAGCUCAACUCCAGAACUGCCUUUGAUACUGGCGAUCUUGAGUUCGGGAGAGGUGAGUGGAACUGCGAGUGUAGAGGUGAAAUUCGUAGAUAUUCGCAAGAACACCAGUGGCGAAGGCGCUCACUGGCCCGAUACUGACGCUGAGGCACGAAAGCGUGGGGGAGCAAA
rnacentral:rRNA from 1 species